rnacentral:lncRNA from 1 species
UGUGGAAGCUCAAAUACAACGAGUUAGGAAAAAGUCAUAAAAACAGAAUAAUACGGCCAUGUGAAUGCAGCAUUAGACUAAUUGCAACCAAGUGGUCUACAAAUUCUCAAAAUAAAUGAAUGAAACCUUACUUUCCUGCUGGAUCUUGUAUUUUGUUCAGGUGAAGAAGGAAAGAGCAAGCCUUCAGGCAUCCAGGAUGCAGCUUUGAAAACGUGUUAGUCAGGAGCCCCUAGAUUCCAGCAAGGCAUUACCACCAGGGCUUCUGCCUGUGAAGAAAGACAAGCCAAGGGCCCAGAGCAACUUCUUCAAUUGCAGGAAGCUGAUUGUGUGAGAUACACCACCCUCCUCCGAUCUGGAUCAUGCUUGGACCAAGGCCUCUCCCUCUCUCUUUUGGCACAGGCCUUGGGACUGGUGGUACAGUGUCAUGCCGCUCCUCAGAAGCAAGUUUCUCCUCAGGGGAUUCUGUCGCGCAGUGACCUGGAUCUCCUCUGACUUGCCUGAAGAGCAGAGUGCCGGGCUGGACUGUGAAGCUGAAUAGGUAAGCUUAACCCACCUUGCUGAAGGGACACUUGUAGGAAGGGGAUAGGACUGGUUCCAUAUUCCCCAACAUCUCACAGGUGAAAAUAGGGGCACUUGAGGAGUUGU